AUCUGGACUUCUACAAGAAUCGGACUCCGUCUGAACUUCCAUAGUGGAUGGAUUUCGGACGAACUUCUACAACAGACGGGCUCCAGUAGCUGGAUUUCUACAACAGCCGACCGCCUCCAUUGUCUGCCGUACCUCCCCAGCCAUCAACCUUCAAUAGCAUCAGUCAGACUUCAACAACGCCAAUCGAACUCCCACAGGAUCCUCCAGACUCCUCCAGUGGAU
rnacentral:lncRNA from 1 species